AGCGAACGCUGGCGGCAGGCCUAACACAUGCAAGUCGAACGGAUCCUUCGGGAUUAGUGGCGGACGGGUGAGUAACACGUGGGAACGUGCCCUUUGGUUCGGAACAACUCAGGGAAACUUGAGCUAAUACCGGAUGUGCCCUUCGGGGGAAAGAUUUAUCGCCAUUGGAGCGGCCCGCGUCUGAUUAGCUAGUUGGUGAGGUAACGGCCCACCAAGGCGACGAUCAGUAGCUGGUCUGAGAGGAUGAUCAGCCACACUGGGACUGAGACACGGCCCAGACUCCUACGGGAGGCAGCAGUGGGUGAUCUUGCGCAGUGGGCGAAAUCCUGACGCAGCCAUGCCGCGUGAAUGAUGAAGGUCUUAGGAUUGGAAAAUUCUUUCAGCGGGGACGAUAAUGACGGUACCCACAGAAGAAGCUCCGGCUAACUUCGUG
rnacentral:rRNA from 1 species